rnacentral:rRNA from 1 species
GACAAACAGGUCGAGCUAAAAUUAGUAACAGUAAAAAAGGAGGUUAUGUGAUUAGGUUAUUUUAGGAGAAAUAAUGCUUUUUAGGGAGGUGGAAUUUGGAUAAAAAGAGGUAAUUUAGGUUUUUCUUUUUCUGAGGCCUCGAAAUUUUGUAUUUAAGACCGGGAUUAGAUACCCCGUUAUUCAAAAUGUAAACUUUAAUUAAGUACAAUUUACUUGAGUAUUACGAGUAUAGAAAGGCAUAUAUCUUAAAUAUAUUUCUUAAAACUCAAAAGACUUGGCGGUGCCUUAUAUCCUUCCAGGGGAACCUGUCCUGUAAUCGAUAGUCCACGAUGUAGCUUUCUUUCCUUUGAAUUUGUAUCAGCUUGUAUACCGUCGUCGUCAGGUUACCUUUAAGAGUAAUGAAGUUAUCAGUUAGAAUUAGAAAAUGGCUUAGCUGGUAUGUUGUUAGCGGCCUAUGUAAAUUUUAAACGUCAGAUCAAGGUGCAGCUUAUAGGGGAGUAGAGAUGGGUUACAAUAAUUAGUUAUUAUACGAAUUUUUUGUUGUGAUAGCAAAAUUGAAGGAGGACUUGGAAGUAAUUGGUUAAUAGAUAAGAGAGCUUAAAUGAAAAUUAGGCUCUGAGGUGCGC